UUUAAGUUUAUAAUUAUUUGAAAGCUGACGCAGUUUCUCCCAUUGUGUUAAUAUGCAUUAGUUUUUACCCGGUUUUGAUUUUUGUUUUUACGUCGAAAAAGAAGAUGACGAAGGGUUGGUUUUCCAUUACAACACUUCACGAAAAUAUGUUGGUUAUGUUCACUAUGUCCGUGGACUCAUUCACUCAGCAGCUGUCAUGUAUUAUGAACUACAAGAUGUUAAAGUUGAAACUUUGAAACAAGAAGUUCUUGGUGAAGUAAUG